AGGAAUGUAGCUCAGUGGUAGAGCACUUGCUUACCACCUGCAAGACCUUGGGUUCCAUCCCCAGCACUGCAA
rnacentral:tRNA from 1 species